AGCAGCCGCGGUAAUUCCAGCUCCAAUAGCGUAUAUUAAAGUUGUUGCAGUUAAAAAGCUCGUAGUUGAAUUUCGGGAUUGGCGCAUCGGUCGUGCCUCACGGGGUAUGAACUGGUGCAGUCAAUUUCUCACCUUUUGGAGAACCGCGAUGUCCUUAAUUGGGUGCCGCGGGGAACCAGGACCUUUACUUUGAAAAAUUAGAGUGUUUAAAGCAGGCAUUUUUGCUUGAAUACAUUAGCAUGGAAUAAUAAAAUAGGACGGCAUGGUUCUAUUUUGUUGGUUUCUAGGACCACCGUAAUGAUUAAUAGGGAUAGUUGGGGGCAUUAGUAUUCAAUUGUCAGAGGUGAAAUUCUUGGAUUUAUUGAAGACUAACUACUGCGAAAGCAUUUGCCAAGGAUGUUUUCAUUAAUCAAGAACGAAGGUUAGGGGAUCGAAGACGAUCAGAUACCGUCGUAGUCUUAACCAUAAACUAUAGCCGACUAGGAAUCAGACGAUGUUAAUUUUUAAUGUACUCGUUGUC
rnacentral:rRNA from 1 species